rnacentral:lncRNA from 1 species
UCCCUUGCCCAUUUUGUAAGGUUUUUCCCCGUGAGAGACGUAAUAAGAGAUUAAAAUAAUAUGAAACACCGGUAUGUUAAAAACAGAAAAUGAAGGUGGUAACUAGUGUUGCAUCGGUCCAUAUUCAGUAUUUGUGUAUCAAACAAAGACAUAAGCAAGGAAUUACAACCAUUUCGAUCUUCAAUUCUACUCCAAUUUCAACAAACUCUUUCCUAUAACUCCACAAAAGAAAAAAAACUUGCUAUUAAUCUGUAUCUUUUACGCACUUGUAGCAAUUGCAAAAAGAGAGUGAUCUUCAAUCGCCCUCAAUUUUGUAUUUUUUAAACCUCUGGAGAUAUACAUAGAUAUGGAUGGGGAAAAAAUGCUGAGUAUCACCCGAAGAACACUAUUCCUAUGGUGAUGAGUACUUUAUAUUUUGGGAGUGUUUCUCUGCUAAGGUGAAAGGACGACUUCCCCGCAUCGAAAGGGGGUGGAGGAUUGGGAUAUUGUGGAGGUAAAAUUGGGAAUAGAAAAUUCAUUCCGGUUGAUGGUGUGGCUACCAGUAUUGUUAUCAUUGGAGGCAACGACGUGACUACAACCUCCUCUCCUGAGGAAGAUGCCCCCGAGGGUGCAGGCUCUUGGACCUUAGUAGCUGUAUGACAGAACGCCUCUACAUCCCCGGGAAUUCUUGGGCGACAAUAUCCUUCCCUCGGUUAGGACAAUACACAUAGGCCUUCCAACACGACAACGACUAAAAACAUACGCCCAUGGCAACAAAGAAGUUGUUCCAGAAGCACAUUAAGGUCAUGGAAUGGUCUAGCCAAUCUCCAAACCUCAAUCCCAGAGAAAAUCUUUAUCUGUGGGCAAACUUACAAAAUCUACAAGGGAUACUUAUUUCCUUCACUGUAAAUAUUAUCAAUUGUGCAAAGAUACAAAACUUAACAUUGCAAGACUUAUCGCUCAAGCUUGUUCCUCACAUAACAUGUGACAAGAAUAUAUAAUUGUUAUUUAA